rnacentral:rRNA from 1 species
UACGUAGGGGGCUAGCGUUGUCCGGAAUCAUUGGGCGUAAAGCGCGUGUAGGCGGCCCGAUAAGUCCGCUGUGAAAGUCCAGGGCUCAACCCUGGGAUGCCGGUGGAUACUGUCGGGCUCGAGUCCGGAAGAUGGCGAGUGGGAAAGUUCCGUCGGAUUGGAUUCAGUCGGGUGGAAAGUUGAACGCCAGAUAAUUCAGGGAGGGAAACAACCC